ensembl:lncRNA TEKT4P2 tektin 4 pseudogene 2
GCCAUUUUCCUCCGGAAGUGCGGAUCCCAGCGGCGGUCGUGUAGCUGAGCAGGCCUGGGGCUUGGUUCUAUGUCCCUGUAGUGUCCUCUGGGUGUUUCCAAGAGCAACAAGAAACGAAUAAAUCUCUGCCCCGCAGCGCCUCCACCCCAGAGACCCGGACCAAGUUCACACAGGACAAUCUGUGCCACGCCCAGCGCGAGCGCCUGGACUCGGCCAACCUGUGGGUGCUGGUGGACUGCAUCCUUCGCGACACCUCCGAGGACCUGGGACUCCAGUGUGACGCCGUGAACCUGGCCUUCGGGCGCCGCUGUGAGGAACUGGAGGACGCGCGGCACAAGCUGCAGCACCACCUGCACAAGCCCCAGCUCACACCCCCCAACACCCCCAAGCUGGUGAGUGAGGUGGAGGAGCUGUACAAGUCCAUCACAGCGCUGCGGGAGAAGCUUCUACAAGCGGAGCAGUCCCUGCGCAACCUCAAGGACAUCCACAUGAGCCUGGAGAAGGACGUCACUGCCAUGACCAACAGUCUCUUCAUCGACCGCCAGAAGUGCAUGGCCCAUCGUACUUGCUACCCCACCAUUCUGCAGCUGGCUGGCUACCAGUGAGCAGCGGCACGGUGCUUCCCCCCAAUCCCCCAAAUAAACAGUGCGUUAGCUU